rnacentral:rRNA from 1 species
UACAGAGGUCUCAAGCGUUGUUCGGAUUCAUUGGGCGUAAAGGGUGCGUAGGCGGCGGAGCAAGUCAGGUGUGAAAUCCCGGGGCUCAACCCUGGAACUGCACUUGAUACUGCUUUGCUAGAGUACUGGAGAGGAGAUUGGAAUUUACGGUGUAGCAGUGAAAUGCGUAGAUAUCGUAAGGAAGACCAGUGGCGAAGGCGAAUCUCUGGACAGUUACUGACGCUGAGGCACGAAGGCCAGGGGAGCAAACGGG